CCUACGAGUGGCAGCAGUGAGGAAUAUUGGUCAAUGGACGCAAGUCUGAACCAGCCAAGCCGCGUGAAGGAAGACGGCUCUAUGAGUUGUAAACUGCUUUUGUACGGGGGUAAGGGCAGAUACGCGUAUCUGUCUGAAAGUAUCGUGCGAAUAAAGAACGGCUAACUCCGUGCCAGCAGCCGGGGUACUACGGAAGAUUCAAGCGUUAUCCGGAUUUAUUGGGGUUAAAGGGUGCGUAGGCGGGCGGAUCAGGUCGGGGUGAAAUCCCGAGGCUCAAAUUCGGAAUUGCCGCUGAUACUGUUCGGCUAGAGAGUAGUUGCGGGAGGCGGAAUGUAUGGUGUAGCGGUGAAAUGCUUAGAGAUCAUACAGAACCCCGAUUGCGAAGGCAGCUUACCAAGCUACGUCUGACGUUGAGGCACGAAAGCGUGGGGAGCAAACAGGAUUAGAUACCCCAGUAGUC
rnacentral:rRNA from 1 species